CCUACGGGAGGCAGCAGUGGGGAAUAUUGGACAAUGGGCGAAAGCCUGAUCCAGCAAUGCCGCGUGAGUGAUGAAGGCCUUAGGGUUGUAAAGCUCUUUUACCAGGGAUGAUAAUGACAGUACCUGGAGAAUAAGCUCCGGCUAACUCCGUGCCAGCAGCCGCGGUAAUACGGAGGGAGCUAGCGUUGUUCGGAAUUACUGGGCGUAAAGCGUACGUAGGCGGUUAUUCAAGUCAGAGGUGAAAGCCUGGAGCUCAACUCCAGAACUGCCUUUGAAACUAGAUAGCUAGAAUCUUGGAGAGGUGAGUGGAAUUCCGAGUGUAGAGGUGAAAUUCGUAGAUAUUCGGAAGAACACCAGUGGCGAAGGCGACUCACUGGACAAGUAUUGACGCUGAGGUACGAAAGCGUGGGGAGCAAACAGGAUUAGAUACCCUGGUAGUCCACGCCGUAAACGAUGAUAACUAGCUGUUCGGGCUCUACGAGCUUGAGUGGCGCAGCUACGCAUUAAGUUAUCCGCCGUCGGGAGGUACGGUCGCAGAUAAACUACAANAGAGUUAGUACGGCGUGAGACGUGCCGACGGACGACGACGAGGGAGGAGG
rnacentral:rRNA from 1 species